AGGGAUUGCCUCAGUAACGGCGAGUGAAGCGGCAAAAGCUCAAAUUUGAAAUCUAGCACUUUCAGUGUUCGAGUUGUAAUUUGAAGAAGGUAACUUUGGUUUUGGCUCUUGUCUAUGUUCCUUGGAACAGGACGUCACAGAGGGUGAGAAUCCCGUGCGAUGAGAUGCCCAAUUCCAUGUAAAGUGCUUUCGAAGAGUCGAGUUGUUUGGGAAUGCAGCUCUAAGUGGGUGGUAAAUUCCAUCUAAAGCUAAAUAUUGGCGAGAGACCGAUAGCGAACAAGUACAGUGAUGGAAAGAUGAAAAGAACUUUGAAAAGAGAGUGAAAAAGUACGUGAAAUUGUUGAAAGGGAAGGGCUUGAGAUCAGACUUGGUAUUUUGCGUUCCCUUCCUUUUUGGUUGGGUUCCUCGCAGUUUACUGGGCCAGCAUCGGUUUGGAUGGUAGGAUAAUGA
rnacentral:rRNA from 1 species